rnacentral:rRNA from 1 species
CACGGGGGGAGCAAGCGUUGUUCGGAAUCACUGGGCGUAAAGGGCGUGUAGGCGGUCUGGUAAGUGGGAUGUGAAAGCCCCCGGCUCACCCGGGGAUCUGCAUUCCAAACUGCCAGACUUGAGUAUGGGAGAGGACAGGGGAAUUCCUGGUGUAGCGGUGAAAUGCGCAGAUAUCAGGAGGAACACCAAUGGCGAAGGCAGCUCGCUGGGACGGUACUGACGCUGAGACGCGAAAGCGUGGGGAGCAAACAGG